UAGCAUAUCAAUAAGCGGAGGAAAAGAAACUAACAAGGAUUCCCCUAGUAACUGCGAGUGAAGCGGGAAAAGCUCAAAUUUAAAAUCUGGCGGUCUCUGGCCGUCCGAGUUGUAAUCUAGAGAAGUGAUGCCCGCGCUGGACCGUGUACAAGUCUCCUGGAAUGGAGCGUCAUAGAGGGUGAGAAUCCCGUCUCUGACACGGACUACCAGGGCUUUGUGGUACGCUCUCAAAGAGUCGAGUUGUUUGGGAAUGCAGCUCAAAAUGGGUGGUAAAUUCCAUCUAAAGCUAAAUAUUGGCGAGAGACCGAUAGCGAACAAGUACCGUGAGGGAAAGAUGAAAAGAACUUUGGAAAGAGAGUUAAACAGUACGUGAAAUUGCUGAAAGGGAAACGCUUGAAGUCAGUCGCGUUGGCCGGGGAUCAGCCUCGCUUUUGCGUGGUGUACUUUCCGGUUGACGGGUCAGCAUCAAUUUUGACCGCUGGAAAAAGGCUUGAGGAAUGUGGCAGCUCCGGCUGUGUUAUAGCUUCUUGUCACAUACAGCGGUUGGGAUUGAGGUACUCAGCACGCCGCAAGGCCGGGUUUCGACCACGUUCGUGCUUAGGAUGCUGGCAUAAUGGCUUUAAGCGACCCGUCUUGAAACACGGACCAAGGAGUCUAACAUGCCUGCGAGUGUUUGGGUGGAAAACCCGAGCGCGUAAUGAAAGUGAAAGUUGAGAUCCCUGUCGCGGGGAGCAUCGACGCCCGGACCAGAACUUUUGGGACGGAUCCGCGGUAGAGCAUGUAUGUUGGGACCCGAAAGAUGGUGAACUAUGCCUGAAUAGGGUGAAGCCAGAGGAAACUCUGGUGGAGGCUCGUAGCGAUUCUGACGUGCAAAUCGAUCGUCAAAUUUGGGUAUAGGGGCGAAAGACUAAUCGAACCAUCUAGUAGCUGGUUCCUGCCGAGCUCCUCUCUCCGAGAAUAA
rnacentral:rRNA from 1 species